AGUCGGGCAAGAUGUCUGCUUGCAACCUGCAGGCUGUAUAAUCGGAAACUGCUUUCCUUUGACCGCGGAUGUACCGGCACUGUCGAAAGCAAGUUUACCCAGGGAGGUCAGGCUGAUUGCCUGGCCUUUUUUGUU
rnacentral:sRNA from 1 species